rnacentral:pre_miRNA from 1 species
AGCUGCAUUACAGGGCAUGUUCUCCAUUGGCAGGUACCCACUACGAUCAAUGCAUCAUAUUUGCAACUUUCUUAGUGUGCAAUCUGCCAAAGGAGAUUUGCCCAGCGAUUCUUCU